GUGUCAGCCGCCGCGGUAAUACGAAGGGGGCUAGCGUUGUUCGGAAUUACUGGGCGUAAAGCGCACGUAGGCGGGUCGUUAAGUCAGGGGUGAAAUCCCAGAGCUCAACUCUGGAACUGCCUUUGAUACUGGCGACCUAGAGUCCGGAAGAGGUUAGUGGAAUUCCCAGUGUAGAGGUGAAAUUCGUAGAUAUUGGGAAGAACACCAGUGGCGAAGGCGGCUAACUGGUCCGGUACUGACGCUGAGGUGCGAAAGCGUGGGGAGCAAACAGGAUUAGAUACCCUCGUAGUCC
rnacentral:rRNA from 1 species